rnacentral:rRNA from 1 species
UACGAAGCGUGCGAGCGUUGUUCGGAUUUACUGGGCUUAAAGGGCGCGUAGGCGGGCGGUCGAGUCAGGGGUGAAAUCCCACGGCCCAACCGUGGAAGUGCCUCUGAUACUGGCCGCCUCGAGGGAGGUAGGGGCAUGCGGAACUUCCGGUGGAGCGGUGAAAUGCGUAGAUAUCCGGAGGAACACCGGUGGCGAAGGCGGCUUCCUGGACCGAUACUGACGCUGAGGCGCGAAAGCGAGGGGAGCAAACGGG